GGAAAUGUGGCUUAGUGGUAGAGUGCUUGCCUAGCAUGCAUGAAGCCCUGGGUUCAAGUUCUCAGUACCA
rfam:Dipodomys ordii contig_13589, whole genome shotgun sequence.